rnacentral:rRNA from 1 species
GGGGAAUAUUGGACAAUGGGCGAAAGCCUGAUCCAGCCAUGCCGCGUGAGUGAUGAAGGCCUUAGGGUUGUAAAGCUCUUUCAGUGGGGAAGAUAAUGACGGUACCCACAGAAGAAGCCCCGGCUAACUUCGUGCCAGCAGCCGCGGUAAUACGAAGGGGGCUAGCGCUGUUCGGAUUUACUGGGCGUAAAGCGCACGUAGGCGGAUCGUUAAGUCGGGGGUGAAAUCCUGGAGCUCAACUCCAGAACUGCCUUCGAUACUGGCGAGCUUGAGUCCGGAAGAGGUGAGUGGAACUCCUAGUGUAGAGGUGGAAUUCGUAGAUAUUAGGAAGAACACCAGUGGCGAAGGCGGCUCACUGGUCCGGUACUGACGCUGAGGGGCGAAAGCGUGGGGAGCAAAC